rnacentral:pre_miRNA from 1 species
CUUGGGGGGGGGGGGUCCCUCAGCCUGGCCUGUGCUCUCUCACAGUCUGGGAUGCCUCAGGGGAUGUCAGAAAGCCAGUUUCAGCCCAAUCCUGCAGGCCAGGCCGAGGGACCCCACUGGUGUACG